CGCUGCUCUGCGGCAGGCGGCCGGCCAGGACUUUUACAACACGUCUGGCUUCACGAUGAAGUCGCUCAGUUCCAUCUCCAAUGCGGCGC
rnacentral:tRNA from 1 species